rnacentral:misc_RNA from 1 species
CAAUAAGUGUUUAUGGCACUUUUAACAAUUCCAUACCCACCUUGUGUGCAACGUUUGAAUCUGCUUCGUGUGUCUCCCUUUCGAGUGGGCCGCGGGGAGUCAGAUAUCUUUAAUCAUUAAUCUGUUUUAAACCAGUUUUGUCUGAAGCAAUGUAUCAUUGAAUUGACCUAAUUCGAAAAUA